CAGCAUAACAUAUUGUCAAGAUGACCAUUUAAUAUGAUGACUGAAAUUUCUAUACAUUUGGCAUUUUCAUAAAAGAGACACAAGCACUUUUCCACUUUAAUACCUCCUCCCUCAGAGAAAUAGGAAUCACCUUGAAUUCAUUUGAUUCUUUCACAGUGAGAACUGAAUUUCUGGCAUAGAAAGAAUUCCACCUUUCAAAGCUUCUACAAUGGAAAAGAAAAGCAUGGAUUUGAGAAACCGAGAGGAGUCCAAUGUUCCAGGGUUUUAGAGAAUUGAAGGCAUCUUACGAUUGAAAAGACCAUCUGCCACGAGCCCUGAGCAUCUCUGCCCAUUCUUGCUGCAUGGUCCAAAUUGCAAAGCUUACGCUGGUCAUAUAGGCAACGGAAGAGGCCAAGGUGAUCAAAGUGUGACCACCAGAGUGGGAACUAUUGAACACUGAAUUCAGAAAUGAUUAUCUGUAGCAGCUCAGUAUGCAGCGGUCUAACAGGGAAAAGUACUAUUAAGAUGAUGAUGGAAUGAGCAAAGAGAAUAUACAUGCUACCACCCUGCUCUCAGUCAAUGGAUACCUUUCUUGUGAGGCAUUAAGAGUUAUCUGGAAAGGCCAAGAGGAUAAUAGCCUAAAAAAUGAUAGAAGCCCUGGCUUGUGUAACUGAAGUCCUUCAGUGGAAUUCCUGUAUAACCAUGGUAGAUUGGUGAAGAACCUACUGAUUCAUUUUGGAGGUGUAUAUAUUAAUGGAUGAGAAGAAACAUUCACUUCAGAUUUAAAGGACACAGAGUUAACAGUGGCAGUCUUGGACAACCAGGCCAAGUGGAACCAAAUCUGGAACCAAGGCUCCUAACAACCUUACUUUGUUGUCUCUCUACUACAUUAGUCUUAUUUAAGAUCUGCUAAAAUUCCAUGAGCUAAAACACUUGGCU
rnacentral:lncRNA from 1 species